AACGAACGCUGGCGGCAGGCCUAACACAUGCAAGUCGAGCGGACCUUUCGGGGUCAGCGGCGGACGGGUGAGUAACGCGUGGGAAUAUGCCCUUCUCUACGGAAUAGUCCUGGGAAACUGGGGGUAAUACCGUAUACGCCCUUUGGGGGCAAGAUUUAUCGGGGAAGGAUUAGCCCGCGUUGGAUUAGGUAGUUGGUGGGGUAAUGGCCUACCAAGCCGACGAUCCAUAGCUGGUUUGAGAGGAUGAUCAGCCACACUGGGACUGAGACACGGCCCAGACUCCUACGGGAGGCAGCAGUGGGGAAUCUUAGACAAUGGGGGCAACCCUGAUCUAGCCAUGCCGCGUGAGUGAUGAAGGCCUUAGGGUUGUAAAGCUCUUUCAGCUGGGAAGAUAAUGACGGUACCAGCAGAAGAAGCCCCGGCUAACUCCGUG
rnacentral:rRNA from 1 species